rnacentral:rRNA from 1 species
UACGGAAGGCAGCAGUGGGGAAUAUUGCACAAUGGGCGCAAGCCUGAUGCAGCCAUGCCGCGUGUAUGAAGAAGGCCUUCGGGUUGUAAAGUACUUUCAGCGGGGAGGAAGGCGAUGUGGUUAAUAACCGCGUCGAUUGACGUUACCCGCAGAAGAAGCACCGGCUAACUCCGUGCCAGCAGCCGCGGUAAUACGGAGGGUGCAAGCGUUAAUCGGAAUUACUGGGCGUAAAGCGCACGCAGGCGGUCUGUUAAGUCAGAUGUGAAAUCCCCGGGCUUAACCUGGGAACUGCAUUUUGAACUGGCAGGCUUGAGUCUCGUAGAGGGGGUAGAAUUCCAGGUGUAGCGGUGAAUGCGUAGAGAUCUGGAGGAAUACCGGUGGCGAAGGCGGCCCCUGGGACGAAGACUGACGCUCAGGUGCGAAAGCGUGGGGAGCAAACAGGAUUAGAUACC